CCUACGGGCGGCAGCAGUGGGGAAUAUUGCACAAUGGGGGAAACCCUGAUGCAGCGACGCCGCGUGAGUGAAGAAGGAAUUCGGUACGUAAAGCUCUAUCAGCAGGGAAGAAAAGGACGGUACCUGAGUAAGAAGCCCCGGCGAACUACGGCCCAGCAGCCGCGGGAAUACGUAGGGCGGAAGCGUUAUCCGGAUGUACUGGGGGGAAGGGGGGCGGAGGCGGUGUGCCAAGUCUGGGGUGAAUUGCCCGAGCUUAACGGAGGAACUGACUUGGAAACUGGCAAACGAGAGUGCGGGAGGGGUAAGCGGAAUUCCUGGUGUAGCGGUGAAAUGCGUAGAUAUUAGGAGGAACACCGGUGGCGAAGGCGGCUUGCUGGACCGUAACUGACGUUGAGGCUCGAAAGCGUGGGGAGCAAACAGGAUUAGAUACCCUAGUAGUC
rnacentral:rRNA from 1 species